rnacentral:ncRNA from 1 species
GAGGAGGGUGGGUGCCAAACAGAAACUUAAAGGAAUUGAAGGAAGGGCACCACCAAGAGUGGAGCCUGCAGCUUAAUUUGACUGAACAUGAGAAAACUCACCUGAUCCAGGCACUGGUAGGACUGACAGAUCAAUAGCUCUUUGUUGAUUUGGUGGGCUUCUUUCAGUUUCCAUCAACAGAUCCACUCACAAGGCUUUGGUUGGCCUGAAGAUAAUAGAAGACACUCACUCAGUGUGCCAUGCAGUGGGACUGAACCUGGAACCAUGUGAUUGGGAAGAACUCAAUUUACUCCAUUCAUAAAAGAUCAAGAAGUAUACCAGCCUACAGUUGAAAGGUCUAAGGAAGUUCUUCCACAAAAUUCUGCAUAUUUUAAGAAUUCUGUAAAUAAUGAAAUGGUAAUUCUUGUCAUUACCAAUUAAAGUAAUCUUAAUUAUUUACA